rnacentral:sRNA from 1 species
AUCGGGUCAAGCCGAGAGUUGAAACAAUGAAUUACACAGUAAAGGGGUUGCGUUAUUUUUUCCCAAGAAGGAAAAAAAAAAAAGAAUGAAAAAAGGGUGAAAAAGCACCAAGCUAAGCCAAGCAAGGGGAAUUUAUGUUAGUAGUUGGUCUAUGCUGUCUGGUUUGUGAUUUUCCCCAGAAAAUAGAUCACCAGAGGACUUCUUAAGCGAACGAUACACGCUCAUUCGCUUGAGUAACUGACUACCGGCCACUGGAGGGAAUCAGAAAAAUUCUGUCGAUGGGGCCAAAAAACAAAAAAAGAAAAGAAAAGAAAAGAAAGUGAAAAACAGAGCCA